AUAGCCAGUUGAUGCUGCACUUUUCAUCAGCAGUUGGUGUUUCUUCUACACAUCCUGAAAUCUACAAUGUUGUUCUGUUCACUAUUACUCUUCUUUGACUUGAUAGGUGUCAGUUCGGGAGAGGAAUUAAUGCCCUACACUGAUGUAGAAGUGGCUUCAGAAAGGGACAGAGUUACUCUCUCUUGUAACUACACCUCUGUUAAUACUCUUCUAUGGUAUCGACAAUAUCCCAAAUCAGCACCACAGUUACUGGUUAUGGAGUACGCAGAUGUUACACCAGGGUUCACUCUAAAUCAUGACAAAAAUGCCAAACGUACGGAUCUGAAGAUCUCCUCUGCUGAAGUGACAGACUCUGCUAUGUACUUCUGUGCUCUGAGGCCCACAGUGACAGGAAACCCAGAAACACUGUACAAAAACCUAACAUCGCCUGAGAGAACAUUUCUGCUCUGUAGUUGAAGGUUUUAUUUGACAAUAAUGCCAUCAAGUGGAGUCAACAUGCACCCAUUAUAUUAUGUCAAGAGGAGGAACAUAGUGUUAUACAUAACAUGUCAUGAGUGGAACUGAUUCAACCAGAGAGUGAAUGUUCCAAGAGAAGAUCAUUAGAGAAGUCUCUGUCUAACACCCAGUGACUAUGAUGCUGCUCUAUUCAGUCUUUAUUAUGUGCACUUGUAGGUAAGAAUUCACUCUCCAUUUACCGAAUGUGUACUAACAGAAUGUACACUGUUAAGUAUUCAUUACAAUACAGUAUUAUCAAUAUCAAGAGGUAAUACACUUUUAAACAAAAAGUGUGGAUAUACUGUGCACUGUCUACAUUGACUCAGUAAUACAUGUUGUUAUUUUUUACAGGUACAAGUGUUGAAGACAUAAUUACUCCAGACAGAGAUGUAGUGGACGUUACGGAGGGUAGUAGCAAUAAACUCUCCUGUAGAUACAACAGCUCAUUAACCAACAGUCUGUUAUGGUACCUCCAGCACCCUGGAUCCUCUCCACAGUUCCUCAUAGUGGACUACUCAGAGAUCAUAACCAACACUAAUAGUACAAAAUGGACCCUCAUACAUGAAGAAGAGGACAACCAUGUGGACCUGGAGAUCUCUUCUACUGAACUGACAGACUCUGCUCUGUACUACUGUACCCUGCAGCCCACAGUGACAGGAAACUCAGAGACACUACAAAGACCUAGAACAUCUGAUUACUGGGAGAAAGUUAUCAACAGGCAGGUUAAUGAAUAUUUCCUAAACACUAAACACCUAUAUUCUAGCCCUAACUCUAACCCUAACUUCAUGUCUAGAUCAACUAUAAAAGUUGUACUAUUUUCCUUAUAAUUAAAUAUAAUAUGAAUGUAGUACCACUGUAUCAAAUACCCUAUUUUCAUACUCCUAAUUAUCCUUACACCUCUGAAGACUCUAGUCACUUCCAUGCCAGUCAGAAGAACUACAGUCUUUUAUCUCUGAACACUCAAAAGCAACUUUAUAAAAAGAAGAGUAAAAGAUAACAUAAGACAUUAAGUCAAAAAUAAUCCCAAACCUCCUUUCAAUAAAUAAUAAGUAACAGAAAGUAUAAGAAAUGUAUGUACCAAAAUAACAAAGUUAAAUUAAAUAAAAACCAAAAAACAACAAUUGAUUUGUAUUGUUUAAUGUUUUUUUAACUAAUGUAAUGUUUUUAUGUAAUGUUAUACGCUUCUUUUUAUCAUUUUAUUUCAUUUGAGACUUGGUAUUGUUGUAUUUUAUGUUUGACAUUCAAUAGAACACUUUGUUUUAGGUAUAUGGUAAAUUAAAUUCAA